AGAGUUUGAUUCUGGCUCAGAUUGAACGUUGGCGGCAGGCCUCAUACAUGCAAGUCGAACGCGAAAGGCCCUUCGGGGCCGAGUAGAGUGGCGGACGGGUGAGUAACGCGUAGGAAUCUACCCGGCAGUGGGGGACAGCUCGGGGAAACUCGAGCUAAUACCGCAUGUGAUCGCCGGCAUUCGUGCCGGGGAUGAAAGCGGGGGAUCUCCCCGUCGCGACUUCGGUUGCAGCGGGACGACCUCGCGCUGUCGGAGGAGCCUGCGUUGGAUUAGCUUGUUGGUGGGGUAAUGGCCCACCAAGGCGACGAUCCAUAGCUGGUCUGAGAGGACGAUCAGCCACACUGGGACUGAGACACGGCCCAGACGGCUACGGUCGGCAGCAGUAGGGAAUAUUGCACAAUGGGCGAAAGCCUGAUGCAGCCAUGCCGCGUGUGUGAAGAAGGCCUUAGGGUUGUAAAGCACUUUCAGUGGCGAAGAAAAAGCCGGCGUCAAUACCGCCGGCCAUGACGUUAACCACAGAAGAAGCACCGGCCAACUCCGUGCCAGCAGCCGCGGUAAUACGGAGGGUGCGAACGUUAAUCGGAAUUACUGGGCGUAAAGCGCGCGUAGGCGGUUUGUUAAGUGAGAUGUGAAAGCCCCGGGCUCAACCUGGGAACUGCGUUUCAAACUGGCAAACUAGAGUUCAGUAGAGGGAGGUGGAAUUUCCUGUGUAGCGGUGGAAUGCGUAGAUAUAGGAAGGAACACCAGUGGCGAAGGCGGCCUCCUGGACUGAAACUGACGCUCAUGUGCGAAAGCGUGGGGAGCAAACAGGAUUAGAUACCCUGGUAGUCCAUGCCGUAAACGAUGAGAACUAGCCGUUUGGCCCCUUGAGGGUUUAGUGGCGCAGCUAACGCGAUAAGUUCUCCGCCUGGGGAGUACGGCCGCAAGGUUAAAACUCAAGUGAAUUGACGGGGGCCCGCACAAGCGGUGGAGCAUGUUGUUUAAUUCGAGGCUACGCGAAGAACCUUACCACCACUUGACAUCCACGGAACUUUCCAGAGAUGGAUUGGUGCCUUCGGGAACCGUGUGACAGGUGCUGCAUGGCUGUCGUCAGCUCGUGUCGUGAGAUGUUGGGUUAAGUCCCGUAACGAGCGCAACCCCUAUCCUUAUUUGCCAGCGGACAAUGCCGGGAACUCUAAGGAGACUGCCGGUGACAAACCGGAGGAAGGUGGGGACGAGGUCAAGUCAUCAUAGCCCUUAUUCGUGGUGGGCUACAAACGUGCUACAAUGGGCGGUACAAAGGGCUGCGAUCCCGCGAGGGCGAGCCAAUCCUCAAAACCGCUCGUAGUCCGGAUAGGAGUCUGCAACUCGACUCCUUGAAGUCGGAAUCGCUAGUAAUCGCGAAUCAGAACGUCACGGUGAAUACGUUCCCGGGCCUUGUACACACCGCCCGUCAAGUCAUGGGAGUGGGUUGCACCAGAAGUAGCUAGUCUAACCCUCGGGAGGACGGUUACCACGG
rnacentral:rRNA from 1 species